GGUGGACGUAGCCAAGUGGAUUAAGGCAGUGGAUUGUGAAUCCACCAUGCGCGA
rnacentral:tRNA from 1 species